rnacentral:rRNA from 1 species
AUCAGUUAUCGUUUAUUUGAUAGUACCUUUACCUGGAUAACCGUGGUAAUUCUAGAGCUAAUACAUGCUAAAAACCUCGACUUCGGAAGGGGUGUAUUUAUUAGAUAAAAAACCAAUGCCCUUCGGGGCUCCUUGGUGAAUCAUAAUAACUUAACGAAUCGCAUGGCCUUGCGCCGGCGAUGGUUCAUUCAAAUUUCUGCCCUAUCAACUUUCGAUGGUAAGAUAGAGGCUUACCAUGGUCUUAACGGGUAACGGGGAAUUAGGGUUCUAUUCCGGAGAGGGAGCCUGAGAAACGGCUACCACAUCCAAGGAAGGCAGCAGGCGCGCAAAUUACCCAAUCCCGACACGGGGAGGUAGUGACAAUAAAUACUGAUACGGGGCUCUUUUGGGUCUCGUAAUUGGAAUGAGUACAAUCUAAAUCCCUUAACGAGGAACAAUUGGAGGGCAAGUCUGGUGCCAGCAGCCGCGGUAAUUCCAGCUCCAAUAGCGUAUAUUAAAGUUGUUGCCGUUAAAAAGCUCGUAGUUGAACCUUGGGCCUGGCUGACCUGUCCUCCUAAUCGAGCGCACGGGUUCGGUCGGGCCUUUCCUUCUAGGGAACCCCAUGCCCUUCACUGGGUGUGGUGGGGAACUAGGACUUUUACCUUGAAAAAAUUAGAG